CCGGCCCAAUACACAGCUGGCUGCGGCCGCGGGCCUGUGGCCUUUACCUAAGGCGCCCUGUGCUCUUUAGCUGUGAGAAACUUGUUGGCGCGGCAUUCAGCUGGUGGCCUUCAAUCCUCAAAGUGCUGUUCUCUCAAUCAAAACCUGGCCGGUGGUCAACAUAAGGCCCUUUACCAUGACAAGAGAGAAGUAUUGAAUCUGCAACGCCGUGGAUACAGUCAACAUGAAGCAUAUCGGAUGGCAUUCCUCGCCAACAUUCCUCUCAAUAUCAAAAGCUGGGUUGUGUGCCUUCCCAGUCCGGGGCGCUUUUCAGAUUCAUUUCCAGGUAAACACAGGGUGGCCAGCCACAAACCUGCGGCCAACAGGCGUUGUCACAGCUGUGGCAGAUAAUGGCAAGUCCAAACUCCAGCCCGGCUCUGGAAUGUUUACUGUCACCACAGGUUUCCCAACGUUCUCAGGAGGAUAAUUCUCCCAGAGCCCCCCCCACCACACUCUUUAGUACCUGCAUGGAGCACUGUAUUAGCAUACACAUAACACCUACAUAUUAAUGAAAAAUACUAAUAAAACAGGAACAAAAAGAAGAGCAGCACAGUGGAUUCUUUUGUUUCUGACCAAAUCCAAAAUGUGACCUUCACCCAUGUGAGAGGACUCCAGCAGGUUGAUGAUUAACUGUGGAAUUAACAACAUGCCUCAUUCAGGAACACAGUGUCAUGCAGGUCAAGGACCAGUUCAAAAUAAAAAGGAUUUGGCACCUUUAAAAUCUUUUUGCAAUAUAUACACAAAGGAUUUUUAAGAGGCACGACACUGUGCAUUUCUUUUACAGUAAGAACGUGCAGUUGUGGACUGUUUAUGCUUACUUUGAGCACCAGAAAUAUAUACUCCAUCUUUUAUUUCAAUGUUUUAUAUUUUAAAAUAAUAUCUUGCGUCCAUUAUUCUUACCUGUAAGUGUAUCCUAAAAUAUCUCCAUCUGACAUGUUUCCACAGCUGGAAAUAUCUGCGGCGAUAAUUACAUCCACUAUACACAAUAAGUGCUACAUAUUUAUUUAAUUAAACAGAUCGUCUAUCAUUAAGACACUAUUUCAGAAUUUGUUUGAAUUAUUAAAGAAAAUAUUAGCCUAACAAGUCGCGCCGACAGAGCGCAGCUCUCCAGCUCUCUGCGGUGAAAUCCCCAAUCCUCAAACACACACAGUCUUUUUCUCAUGAUCUCAUUUCCAAGUUAAGCAGACUCUGUUAGUCCCUCGUCAACACCACAGGUUUGCUUGCCUUUACUAAUGGGUCUUAUACUGAUAGUUAUGCUCUUGCGUAAAUAUGCAGUCAAA
ensembl:lncRNA